AAUUUUACUCUUUUUAGUGUAGUAUACACUUCUAUAUGUUUUGAUACAUAUGUCCAAAUAUGUAAUUACCACCACAAGUAAGAUAUAGAACAGAUUUGUUACCCCAAAAAGUCGCUACUAGGAUCUUGAUAUUUGACAUACAUAUACUAGGCUCUAGACAAUGGAAAGCCUAGCCUUGAAUCGCAAGAGUGCUUUGUCUGCCAUUCUGCAGUGUUACUUCCUGCUUGAAGCAAUCAAUGCCUGAGAACUGAGGGGGAGAUGGUGGCAGAGAGCUACGAAAUUCACAAGCAGGAAUCUCAGUUAAUAUGCAGCCACCCUUGCCCGCCCCCGGUAAAAGUCCUAGGGCCUAGCCAAAGCUAGAUCCAUGAGAAAUAUUGGUCAUCUAGUGAGUAAAUAAACGAAUAAAUGAAACAACUUACGUAGGAAGGUAGAUAAGUGAUUGUUCUCUUCUCCAUCCUUUCUGAGUGCCAGGAGUUACCAAGGAGGCUUCAGGGUUGGGCUUUAGCCCUGUUCCUUUGGUCUCCGAUGUUGGGUGAGAUGCGGAUUGAUUUCAGCCCCAGGAGCAAGGUGUCCUGCAUUCCCAUCUCGGAUAUUGCUCAAUACAGCCUCAUAGGCUCUUCUGGGUUGUGUGAGUGUCUCCUUAUGGGAUAUCUGAGCUCUUGUUUGCCAUCAUUCACCCAGUGAACCAGCAGCUCAUCGCUUUUUCUCCCCAUGAGAAGAAUGAAUUCACUUGGAUUGUUAAGUAUAAAAGUGUUAGGGAAAGACUCUUUUAAACUGCUAACUGUAAGGCUUAACCUCCCUGGUAAUGGAGAUCAGUGCUCCUUUCUACUUUCUUUACAGCCCAAGGAUCUUCAGUAACUAUGGCUCCCAGGAUGAUCAAAGAAGUCUUGCUGUGUCCAGAUCACAUAAAUAUUGAAUAAGGCUGCUUGGAAUCCUUAAAAGAGUUUGGAGAGGAGGAGGAGUCCAGUGCAGAAGAUGGUAUCAGAAAAUGCUGACCCUCAGCUAAGAGCUAAUACAAAAGUCAGCAACAAAGGAAUGAGAAUGGAUCCUAUCAGGCAUGGCUUCUAUUUUCGGCUUGGAAUUUGCACACGCAUUGCUUUUAAGUCUUUUUUUCAGAAUAGCUCUUCUGUAGCUCAACUGCCCGGGGAGCCCAGCAUCCAGCUUUAUGACUCACAAACCAUCUCCAGUGAUCUCAAGUGUUAA
rnacentral:lncRNA from 1 species